UCUAGUAUAAGCAAUCUAUACCGUGAAACUGCGAAUGGCUCAUUAAAUCAGUUAUCGUUUAUUUGAUAGUACCUUACUACUUGGAUAACCGUGGUAAUUCUAGAGCUAAUACAUGCUAAAAACCUCGACUUCGGAAGGGGUGUAUUUAUUAGAUAAAAAACCAAUGCCCUUCGGGGCUCCUUGGUGAUUCAUGAUAACUUAACGAAUCGCAUGGCCUUGUGCCGGCGAUGGUUCAUUCAAAUUUCUGCCCUAUCAACUUUCGAUGGUAGGAUAGUGGCCUACCAUGGUUUCAACGGGUAACGGGGAAUUAGGGUUCUAUUCCGGAGAGGGAGCCUGAGAAACGGCUACCACAUCCAAGGAAGGCAGCAGGCGCGCAAAUUACCCAAUCCCGACACGGGGAGGUAGUGACAAUAAAUACUGAUACGGAGCUCUUUUGGGUUUCGUAAUUGGAAUGAGUACAAUUUAAAUCCCUUAACGAGGAACAAUUGGAGGGCAAGUCUGGUGCCAGCAGCCGCGGUAAUUCCAGCUCCAAUAGCGUAUAUUAAAGUUGUUGCAGUUAAAAAGCUCGUAGUUGAACCUUGGGCCUGGCUGGCCGGUCCGCCUCACCGCGUGCACUGGUCCGGCCGGGCCUUUCCUUCUGGGGAACCGCAUGCCCUUCACUGGGUGUGUCGGGGAUCCAGGACUUUUACUUUGAAAAAAUUAGAGUGUUCAAAGCAGGCCUAUGCUCGAAUACAUUAGCAUGGAAUAAUAGAAUAGGACGUGUGGUUCUAUUUUGUUGGUUUCUAGGACCGCCGUAAUGAUUAAUAGGGAUAGUCGGGGGCAUCAGUAUUCAAUUGUCAGAGGUGAAAUUCUUGGAUUUAUUGAAGACUAACUACUGCGAAAGCAUUUGCCAAGGAUGUUUUCAUUAAUCAGUGAACGAAAGUUAGGGGAUCGAAGACGAUCAGAUACCGUCGUAGUCUUAACCAUAAACUAUGCCGACUAGGGAUCGGGCGAUGUUAUUAUUUUGACUCGCUCGGCACCUUACGAGAAAUCAAAGUUUUUGGGUUCUGGGGGGAGUAUGGUCGCAAGGCUGAAACUUAAAGAAAUGAC
rnacentral:rRNA from 1 species